UACGUAGGGGGCAAGCGUUGUCCGGAAUUACUGGGCGUAAAGCGCACGUAGGCGGCUUUGCAAGUUAGAGGUGAAAGCCCGGGGCUCAACUCCGGAAUUGCCUUUAAAACUGCAUCGCUAGAAUUGUGGAGAGGUAAGUGGAAUUCCGAGUGUAGAGGUGAAAUUCGUAGAUAUUCGGAAGAACACCAGUGGCGAAGGCGACUUACUGGACACAUAUUGACGCUGAGGUGCGAAAGCGUGGGGAGCAAACAGGG
rnacentral:rRNA from 1 species